GACGAACGCUGGCGGCGUGCUUAACACAUGCAAGUCGAACGGAAAGGCCCUGCUUUUGUGGGGUGCUCGAGUGGCGAACGGGUGAGUAACACGUGAGUAACCUGCCCUUGACUUUGGGAUAACUUCAGGAAACUGGGGCUAAUACCGGAUAGGAGCUCCUGCUGCAUGGUGGGGGUUGGAAAGUUUCGGCGGUUGGGGAUGGACUCGCGGCUUAUCAGCUUGUUGGUGGGGUAGUGGCUUACCAAGGCUUUGACGGGUAGCCGGCCUGAGAGGGUGACCGGCCACAUUGGGACUGAGAUACGGCACAGACUCCUACGCGAGGCAGCAGUGGGGAAUAUUGCACAAUGGGCGGAAGCCUGAUGCAGCAACGCCGCGUGCUGUAUGACGGCCUUCGGGUUGUAAACCGCUUUCGCCUGUGACGAAGAGUGAGUGACGGUAAUGGGUAAAGAAGCACCGGCUAACUACGUG
rnacentral:rRNA from 1 species